rnacentral:rRNA from 1 species
UUCCAGACUCCUACGGGAGGCAGCAGUGGGGAAUAUUGGGCAAUGGGCGCAAGCCUGACCCAGCAACGCCGCGUGAAGGAAGAAGGCUUUCGGGUUGUAAACUUCUUUUAUCAGGGACGAAGCAAGUGACGGUACCUCUUGAAUAAGCCACGGCUAACUACGUGCCAGCAGCCGCGGUAAUACGUAGGUGGCAAGCGUUGUCCGGAUUUACUGGGUGUAAAGGGCGUGUAGCCGGGCCGGCAAGUCAGAUGUGAAAUCCCAAGGCUCAACCUUGGAACUGCAUUUCAAACUGUUGGUCUUGAGUAUCGGAGAGGCAGGCGGAAUUCCUAGUGUAGCGGUGAAAUGCGUAGAUAUUAGGAGGAACACCAGUGGCGAAGGCGGCCUGCUGGGCUUUUACUGACGCUGAGGCUCGAAAGUGUGGGGAGCAAACAGGAUUAGAUACCCGAGUA